AACGAACGCUGGCGGCAUGCCUAACACAUGCAAGUCGAGCGGAGAUGAGGUGCUUGCACCUUAUCUUAGCGGCGGACGGGUGAGUAAUGCUUAGGAAUCUGCCAUUUAGUGGGGGACAACAUUCCGAAAGGAAUACUAAUACCGCAUACGCCCUACGGGAGAAAGCAGGGGAUCUUCGGACCUUGCGCUAAUAGAUGAGCCUAAGUCGGAUUAGCUAGUUGGUGGGGUAAAGGCCUACCAAGGCGACGAUCUGUAGCGGGUCUGAGAGGAUGAUCCGCCACACUGGGACUGAGACACGGCCCAGACUCCUACGGGAGGCAGCAGUGGGGAAUAUUGGACAAUGGGCGGAAGCCUGAUCCAGCCAUGCCGCGUGUGUGAAGAAGGCCUUAUGGUUGUAAAGCACUUUAAGCGGGGAGGAGGCUACUUUAGUUAAUACCUAGAGAUAGUGGACGUUACUCGCAGAAUAAGCACCGGCUAACUCUGUGCCAGCAGCCGCCGUAAAAC
rnacentral:rRNA from 1 species